ensembl:lncRNA
AUGCAUUAUGUGCAUGUAAGUGUUAUUCCCAUUUCAACCCUUACCAUUUUUGGGCUGGAGCUCUGUGUAAAGGUAAUUUGUGGCCAGGAAGCAGCAGACCACAUCUUCCAGGAGUUUCACUGUAGUGCUUUCGGAGCACACUGUGGCCAAACUAAAACAAGAGAUGCCAUAUCUAAAAGAUUCUACUGGCCUGGAAUGUCUUUAGAUAUUGAUGCUUGGGUUUCCAGGUGUGUGUUAUGCCAGAUCAAGUGUUGCGACCUUAAGCAAAGUGUGGAGUACAUCCCUAUAGAGGUAUUGAGAAUAACCUAAUAUGAUUAUAUGCAGGUUUUAUUCAAAUUGUAAUAAUGAAAUAUAAACAGCAGAUGUAUAGAAUGUCACAUUCCAUUUUCAUAUUUUACUGAAGUGUAGUUUUUUAUUCAUACAUUUUAUAUUGUCAUUCUUAGGGGUGUGAAACUGGGAGGACCAUAGAUCUGCAGUGUUUACUUCUAUACCCUCUUCCCCAACACCUAUGAUUCUCAAGUGUUAUUGAACAUCUUAUGUAGUGGUUCAAAUGUGUAAAUGGGGUUGAGGAUAAAUAUUGCAGGACUGUGGCCCUGCAGGAGCAGAGUCUGACACCCAGGCAGCUGCAGUUAUAAUUAAUAAGCAUUGGUUAUGUGCAUGGUCAAUGCAUUCUUUAUUUAUCAGGUCGCUGCCCCGUUUGAGCUCAUUGGGAUGGAUCUAAUUGGGAAACUCACAAAAACAGGAGUGCGGUUCCAGAGAUGCCCAUCUCUCUGAGGGUGGACAUUAGAAUCUGGUGAUUAACUGUGUCAAAAGCAGAGGGAACUGUACCAGAGUGAAGAGAGGUGUUGAUAAUGUGAGUAAGUGAAGGUAUUACUGAAGAAGAAAUCACUUGAAGGAGGUGAGUGGGAAAAGGAUCAAGUGGACAAGUAGUAGGAUGACUGGAAAGGAUAAGUUUGAAAACGUCUAUCUAUGAGAGUGGAGAGAAGGAGGAGAGAGAGUGUGCAUUAGUUAUGAAGUUAUCAUCUGUCUGCGGUGUGGAAAAUUGGUUACUGAUGGUUCUUGUCUUAUUUGUGAAGAAAACUGCAAAGUCGUCGACUGUAAGAGUCGAUGAAGAAGGAGGUGGAGGCAGACUAAGAAGAGAAGAGAAAGUUUUGAAAAGUGUGCGAGAGUCAGAAGAGUUGUUAAUGUUGUUGUGGUAGUAUGAUGUUUUAGCAGUGAAGACAUUUGCAGAGAAGGAAGAGAGGAGAGACUGAUACACACUGAGGUCGGUAGAGUUUCUUGAUUUAACCCAUUUCCUCUCUGCAGCCCU